GGGGGGGGGGGGGGGGGGGGGGGGGGGGGGGGGGGGGGGGGGGGGGGGGGGGCGGGGGGGGGGGGGCGGGGGGCGGGUGGGGGACGGGUGGGGGGUGCGGCGGGAGGUAGUGUUUCGGGGGGGAUAACGUGGUGGGGCUUACGCUCGGACCGCAUACGACCUACGGGUGGGAGCAGGGGAUCUUCGAGCCUUGCGCGCUUGGCUGAGCCGAUGUGGAAUAAGCUAGUUGGCGGGGUAAAGGCCCACCAAGGCGACGAUCCGUAGUUGGUCUGAGAGGAUGAUCAGCCACACUGGAACUGAGACAAGGUCCAGACUCCUACGGGAGGCAGCAGUGGGGAAUAUUGGACAAAGGGCGCAAGCCUGAUCCAGCCAUACCGCGUGGGUGAAGAAGGCCUUCGGGUUGUAAAGCCCUUUUGUUGGGAAAGAAAAGCAGCAGGUUAAUACCCCGCUGUUCUGACGGUACCCAAAGAAUAAGCACCGGCUAACUUCGUG
rnacentral:rRNA from 1 species